AUUACAGGUGUGGCUCUCACACCUGGCUUCCCGGUUUGUUUCAGCACCACAGACAGACCUCUGCUCUCUCACUUUGAAUGAGGACAAUUCUGAACCCAUCUCAGCAGCUAGCCCAGCUCCACCCAGUUCCAGAAGCUCCCACAGCCGGCUGCCCCCUUUCUUUCCUGUUUUGUUAGGACUUUCUGCAAUGAGUCCUCCCCGAGCUUCCUCACAGACCAUCUGUUCAAAGGGCCAAUGGUUUUCAGCCUUUGGGACUCCGUACAAGCCAAGUGGGAAGAGAUCCCCAAAGCCUCUGAGUUGGCCGAGGAUAGAGGUGGCCGUCUUAUGGAGCCAAGGUCACUUCUAAGAGAGGGGAAGAACUUACCCUAGUGGAUGGGGACGCUGGUGUGCUUUCUCCCCCCUGGAAUCUCCCUGAGGAUGCUGUUGGCUGGAAGGAAUCAUCCUUGAAGGAAAGAAAUGAAGCUGAGGGUCAUGCUACUUCUCCUAAUUCUACUGAAGAGAAAAUAUUAAGAAGUCAUUAUGAGACUGAGACCUGCUAACCUCACAUUCUAGGGACAUUAAGCAACAGCAUCAUGAUGCCCCAGGAGACUGGUGAGAGAUCCCACUUCUCUUUUACCUA